rnacentral:lncRNA from 1 species
AUUUGUUAAUUAGGAAAUCUGUUAAACUUUAUUCUGAAUACCAGUUAAGAGUGACUUUUCAUUGAGUGAUACAUUGUAGCUUCAGAAUAUUAACUCAGUACUCAAGUACUACAGUAGUUUUUAUGCUUAACUUCAUGUUUAUUCAUUAAGUAUAUAUUUUAUUUAACAUCAUCCAGGAGUCAGGCACUGGACUGGCACUAUUUUAGCAUGUUUUAAAAUGAGGCCUGUGUAAAUUUUAGACAUUAUUCUAGAGGUAAUGAGAUACUUUUAUUUUCAUUUCCACAGUGUUAAAUGAGUUAAUUCUGAAAUUUUUUUUAAUGGCCUGAAGUUUAUGAAUGCUUUAUUUUUCCAGGUCUGCUAGUAAUGGAAUAAAUUUAAUUUUGAGAUCUAAGAAUUGACUAAAAAUAGCUUUUGUAAUAGAGAAAGUAUGUUAAGUUACACAUGGACCUACAUUUAAAUUUUUGCUUUUAUUUUGAAUAUUUUCAAAGCACAUUUGCAGGGGUAUUAAAUUGUGAAGCUAAUUUAGUAACAGUAGCUUCCAGAUGACCUCAGGAAAUAGUACAAAUCAGUGAGAAUGUUUACAGAUCCUCAAAACAACUACCAUAGUGUUUGGCCAGAUGAAUUUAAGAAAUAAGACGAGAGUUUAGCUUUAUUUAGAAACUGGCUUACAGUGUAUAUAUAACCUCGGUUUUCCAUUGUUAUUCCAUAUUUAAAAUGAUAAAUUUUUGACUAUAUAUAAAUUAUGUGAAUAUUUUUGACAUAACCAAAGUAUGUUUAUAUUUAAGAUUUUGUCAUGUAAUGUUUUUAAAACUGAUGUAAAGGCCACUGUUUUGAAUGGCCAUGGAGAGUGGUGUCAGUUCAAAGAGUAGGUGAUACCUGUUUUCUUACUGUAAAUAUGCCAACAAAGCUAUUUUACUAUGAUAUAUUUAAGAGCUCUUAGUUCGCAUGUGUGACUUUAGUCAAUGAUUUUAUAUGGCAUCUGAAUAAAAUUUCCUGAGGAUUAAGCUGUGAAAUGUAUCAACUUCACCUUAUUUUUGAGGUAUAAAAUAGUAUCUUGCCUACUUUUAUUAAAUUCAUCCUCAUAAUUUGUCUGCAUGUUACCUGAAGAAAUAAGGCUAAGCCAGAUGUGUACAAUAAAUGUGAUUCUUUAUUAUCUAUUGCAUUAAGAAAGACUAUUUUUAGAUAUUUAAAAUACUCUGUUUCAUGUAGAAAUGCAUCAAUUCAAAUCUAUUUAAAAGAUAGAUAACUAUAUUUUUAAUUUUGAGUAAUAAUGAUUAUAUAUCAUUCCUACUAUUUUAUCUUUUUCCGCAGUGUUUUUGGAAAAUAGCUAUGUAACUUAUGGAACAUUAUUUUGAUGUUACUAUAUAAACAUGCAAAAUAAAUAUUAAAUUCAUAUUUAUGUUUAAA